UACCUGAUUGAUUCUGUCAGCGCGAUAUGCUCAAGUAAAAGAUUAAGCCAUGCAUGCUUUGAUUCAUAAAUGAAAUUGCGUACGGCUCAUUAGAGCAGAUAUCACCUUUCUCGGAAUCCUGAAAAGGAUAACUGCGGAAAUUCUGGAGCUAAUACAUGCGACUAUACUCCAACGCAAGGCGGGGUGCAAUUAUUAGAACAGACCAAACGUUUUCGGACGUUGUUUGUUGACUCUGAAUACCGUCGUUUACUGUCAGUUUCGACUGACUCUAUCCGAGAAGGGUGUCUGCUCUUUCAACUAGAUGGUAAUCUAUUGGACUACCAUGGUUGUUACGGGUAACGGAGAAUUAGGGUUCGACUCCGGAGAGGGAGCCUUAGAAACGGCUACCACGUCCAAGGAAGGCAGCAGGCGCGAAACUUAUCCACUGUUGAGUAUGAAGAUAGUGACUAAAAAUAUAAAGACUCAUCCUUUUGGAUGAGUUAUUUCAAUGAGUUGAAUAUAAAUUAUUCUUCGAGUAGCAAGGAGAGGGCAAGUCUGGUGCCAGCA
rnacentral:ncRNA from 1 species